rnacentral:rRNA from 1 species
GGGGGGGACUCGGAAGGAUCAUUA